rnacentral:rRNA from 1 species
UAAAGAUUGAACUGAAGAGUUUGAUCAUGGCUCAGAUUGAACGCUGGCGGCAGGCCUAACACAUGCAAGUCGAGCGCG